CAUCUUAUCUUGAUUAGCAUCUACUUUAGUAGUUAGAAUAUGCUGAGCAUUUCCUAGUUUCCAAGUUUUCUACUUCUAUAUGUAUCCAAUCCCGCCAUGGUUUAUGGUGUGGCUUAAUGAAAUAGAAAAUUUGCCCCAAAACCUGUCUAUCUCUAAAAAAUGGUAUAGGAGCCCAGUUCUUCCCAGAAUUUUUAUCUAUCCCUGCGUGGCGCCAUGGCCAGCCCUCUCUCUCCUACCACGAGUCCACAACUCCAGCGUACGGCGCCGACAGGCGGCUGCACGCGACUGGCGUGCAGCAGCCGCGGCAGCAGCGAACGCGCAGGAGGAGGAGCAGACGGCACACAACACGGCUGCGGCUCGGGAGGAGCGCAUCACAGCAGCAGAGGCUGCAGUGGCACGCGCGGCUGAGAC
rnacentral:misc_RNA from 1 species